GAUUAACGCUGGCGGCGUGCCUAACACAUGCAAGUCGAACGAAGUGGCGGACGGGUGAGUAACGCGUGAGUAACCUGCCUUAGAGAAGGGGAUAGCCUUUGGAAACGCAGAAUAAUACCCUAUGCUCUAAGAUGGACUUGCGUCUGAUUAGUUAGUUGGUGAGGUAACGGCUCACCAAGACAGCGAUCAGUAGCCGGCUUGGAGGAGUGUACGGCACCAUUGGGACUGGGACACGUCCCAGACUCUACGGGAGGCAGCAGUGGGGAAUUUUGCACAAUGGGGGAAACCCUGAUGCAGCGACGCCGCGUGAUUUAGAAGGCCGUCGGGUUGUAAAAAUCUUUUCUAUGGGAAGCAGUACCAUAGGAAUAAGGACCGGCUAAUUACGUGCCAGCAGCCGCGGUAAUUC
rnacentral:rRNA from 1 species